AUCCAGCUGACGAGCCCCAAAAUAGGACGAAACGCGCGUUCUGGAU
rnacentral:hammerhead_ribozyme from 1 species